rnacentral:rRNA from 1 species
CGUCUGGUGGCGAUGGCGAAGAGGUCACACCCGUUCCCAUCCCGAACACGGAAGUUAAGCUCUUCAGCGCCGAUGGUAGUGAGGGGAUUCCCCUUGCGAGAGUAGGACGCUGCUAGGCAG